CGGAACCUAAUGUAGUUACAAGGAACCUGUUGACAAAGCUCAUUAAAGUAAAUGUUAGUAUUUUAACUGCAUUGCCAGAAUUCAGUCGGAAAUACAGUAGACCUACACCUUUGAAGGACUGCAGUAUAAGUAAUGUUAAUGUUUGUGAGUUGUUACAGUUCAUCAUAUUUUCCGUGUGUAUUUUCUACUAUUCUGUAGAUUCCAAACAUUCAGACGAGAGGAGGGUGGCGGACCAGCCCGGAGACGCAGAUGUAGCACAAGACGACAAAUAACCUUCAGAGUGUCUGUGCUGAGGAGCAGCACAUUGACCUGUUACAGGUCUCAUAGGGAUGCUACUCCUCCCUGUCGGGUCGUCGUCCCUUUAGACCUUGACGAACAGGAGUUUGUUCAAGUCCUUCAAGAAAACAUCCCCGCGUUGCCUGAACACUUUGAGCUUUGCUGAGUCAAUGGGCAGCGCAGCAUAAUAGUGUUGGAGGAGCAGUGCCCAAGGGACAUACAUGCCCAGAAUGCCCUAGGGCGCUCUUGUCUCUACCUACGCCCCAAGGAUGUUAUGUCAAACCCCUCCAUACCAGUGGAACAAACACCAGCUGCACCACCAAUUGCAGUUGGGACAACUUCUCCUGCUCCAUCUCCACCAAUCCACACCUCUUCUCCUGCUC